rnacentral:rRNA from 1 species
CCCGGCGACCGGCGCACGGGUGAGUAACACGUAUGCAACCUGGCCGUGACAGAUGGAUAACCGGGAGAAAUCCCGCCUAAUACAGCAUGACGUCGGGAAGGGACAUCCCUUUCCGGCCAAAGGGGGCGACUCCGGUCACGGAUGGGCAUGCGGCGCAUUAGGUAGUUGGUGGGGCAACGGCCCACCAAGCCGACGAUGCGUAGGGGUUCUGAGAGGAAGGUCCCCCACAUUGGAACUGAGACACGGUCCAAACUCCUACGGAAGGCAGCAG